UACGUAGGGAGCUAGCGUUGUUCGGAUUUACUGGGCGUAAAGGGCGCGUAGGCGGCAAUUCAAGUCAUCUGUGAAAUCUCCGGGCUUAACUCGGAACUGUCAGAUGAUACUGCUUUGCUAGAGUGCAGAAGGGGCAACUGGAAUUCUCGGUGUAGCGGUGAAAUGCGUAGAUAUCGAGAGGAACACCUGCGGCGAAGGCGGGUUGCUGGGCUGACACUGACGCUGAGGCGCGAAAGCUAGGGGAGCGAACGGG
rnacentral:rRNA from 1 species